AGAACGAACGCUGGCGGCGCGCCUAAUACAUGCAAGUCGAGCGAGAAGACGUAGCAAUACGUUUGUAAAGCGGCGAACGGGUGAGGAAUACAUGGGUAACCUACCCUCGAGUGGGGAAUAACUAGCCGAAAGGUUAGCUAAUACCGCAUACGACUCUCGGUCUGCGGAUCGAGAGGGAAAGCGAUACCGUGGGUAUCGCGCUCAUGGAUGGGCUCAUGUCCUAUCAGCUUGUUGGUGAGGUAACGGCUCACCAAGGCUUCGACGGUAGCUGGUCUGAGAGGACGAUCGAGCCACACUGGCACUGCGACACGGGCCAGACUCCGUACGGGAGCAGCAAGUAAGGAAUAGUUGCGCAAUGGGCGACAGCCUGACGCAGCGACGCCGGCGGUGGGACGUAGAAGGUCGUUUCGGAGUUACGUAAACCCCCGUUUCGGCCGUAGGAAGAGUAGGAACGGCGUAACCGGUUACCGGUACGGUACCGUGCGAAGAACG
rnacentral:rRNA from 1 species